rnacentral:rRNA from 1 species
CCUACGGGUGGCAGCAGUGGGGAAUAUUGCGCAAUGGGCGAAAGCCUGACGCAGCGACGCCGCGUGAAGGAUGAAGGACUUCGGAACGUAAACUUCUGUCAGCAGGGAAGAACGUUCCCUGUGCUAAUCAGCAGUGAAUUGCCGGUACCUUCACAGGAAGCACCGGCUAACUCCGUGCCAACAGCUGCGGUAAUCCGAGGGGUGCGAGCGUUAAUGGAAAUUACUGGGCGUAGGCGCGCGUAGGCGGUUUGGCAAGUCAAGGGUGAAAUCCCGGCGCUCAACGUGGGAACUGCCUUGGAAACGGGCAAACUGGAGUGUAGGAGAGGAGAGUGGAAUUCCAGGUGUAGGAGUGAAAUCCGUAGAUAUCAGGAGGAACAUUAGUGGCGAAGGCGACUAUCUGGCACAUAACUGACGCUGAGGAGCGAAAGCGUGGGUAGCAAACAGGAUUAGAUACCCUAGUAGUC